GGUCGAGAACAUCAACAUAAGCAGUCCAGCAUCGGAGUGCUUCCUCUCCUCCAGGGAACGUGUGACAGGAAAAGUAAAUAACGGCUCCGGAGGCCGUCGGCUGGUCAAAACAAGGCGCAGAGCUGGGGCCUGCACGCCGGAAACGCACACGCACUGCACGUGCACCUCCUGCUGGCAGCAGUGCAGUGGUGUUACCUGUGGAGGCCAUGGUGAGCAACAGGAGCGUUGAGGGGUAGAGGGCCUGUCCUGCCAUGAGGAGGGAGCGCGUGUUGGAGUAGGAGUGCACCGUCUCAGAUCUCCAGCAGAGGGCGAACACCAGACACAAAGCACCAGUGCUGGCGGCCAUGAGGAAGGAAAGAACUCCAAAUACUCUCUCUGCUUCCAGCACUGGAAGACACAUAGACGACCACAUACAGUUCAAAAAAAGGGAAGGAGAAACUAGACUCUUAUAUCGACCUUUAAGCGGAUUACAUUUUUGUUAUAAACAGGCAGCAUAUUGAAUUGAUGACUCAUGGUUGCAUUCCCUCAUCACAUGUAUCAAGGUGUACUUUAUGGGUUGUUUUCAUGUCUAUUGAGCUGACAUUUAAUUGCUUUCAUUCCUUCAGUGUGUUUGAACAACAGCAAAACCACAAAAAUAUGAACAAGUUGUUAUCUAAUUUCUAAAUGCCCUUGCUGGAGCUCCAUCUGUGAGUCCAUGUACAGUUACAGACGGUUUGUGAAUUGUUCAUCUGGUUAUCAAUGUGGUCAUGAGAGAUAGUAGCUUUCAGACACUAGUGUUGAGCUGACUGCAUUGUAUUUCAUCGUUGUAUUUUUCCUUGUUCAAGGAUUUAAGGGGAACACGUCCAACAGCUUGUCCUUUUUUUUACGUCAACAAACAAGAUGCACCUGACAAAGAGAAGGUGGCCAAGCUCUCGAGAAAUUUGUCUCCAGCCGAGUGGGAACCUGUCUGGUAAGAGUUCGCUCCUCUGGUGCCGAGGCGAGCUCAAACUUGUUUAUGGCUGCUGACAGAGGAGAUGCCCUGCAGCGCUGUUUUUUUUCAGAUGCUCCUCAUGGUGCGAAAGGAUGAUUCAGAUGAGAAAUAAAAAGCCAAGGCUGUCUGUAGCAGAAUCAGUGCCUUAUCAGCAGUGGUUUUAUAUUCUGCCCUUUUUCACACAUGUCAAAACAUGCAACCUAAACCACAUUUUUGACCAAAUGUGAUCUGAUGGGCUGCAGACAAAUGUUAAAGAUGUAAAUGUGGCAUGUUGCUCACCGUUGAAGAGAAAACCAUCUCUACUGCUUGUCUGGUCACUUUUAGUGUUAUUCCCCGCUGUCCAGAGACCCCGGUCCUUCAGCCAGAACGGUGUCCAGACCGCGUAGCAGACACACAGGCAACCGGCCAAACCCACGCAGGACUGAGAAAACCUGAAGCGACUGUUGGAGUCCCUCAGCUCCAGAAACGCCAUAGUGCUGGAUCACCGAGAGGCAAAGAAAACAGAUCGGGACAAGAGGAACAGAUGAGUAUUCAGAGUGCAUUGAAAGUGAGUAACAGUGAGAAGUCUUUAAACUAACCUGAUGUAGGCAUCAGAUGAAUAUGAUAUCAGAAAGUAAAAUUCUAA
ensembl:lncRNA